UUCUUGCCCACUCUCUAGGGUGCCCACCUUUAGUAGCAAGAUUCCUGGAAGGGAAAGGCCAACUGCCAAUCAGAAUGUUGCUUGGUGACCAAGAGGUCAGAGUCAAGAGAGGUGGAUAUUUGGGGACUAUUUCAUCCAGGUCACAGUAAAACCUAGUCCUGGAAUAAAACAUUAUAUUCAUUUAUGUGAGCCUUGUUUUAAACAUAAUCUAAAAUAGCUUAAACACAAUAAAAAAAUUAUGACAAGGGAAAAUGAAGAGUUAGAGAAAUCAGAUAAAACCAAGAGUGAAGUUAGUAUAAACAUCAUGCUGGGAGGAGGGCCACACAUUUGGAACUGAGCUCUCUAGCGGCCAAUUCAAAGAGGGAAAAUCAGUCAUUACAUGGUGCCCAAUGUCCGUAAAGGAAAAAGAGGAGAGUCUCAGGAGACACACAGCUGUUCCUUUUCCUGAGACUGGGGGUCCCUGUGGAUUGGAAGUGGUGUUAUAAAGUGAACAACAUUACAGCCACAUCUUUACCAUAAAUACAAGUUUCAUAGGAUUCAUUCAUUUCUUCCAGUGUCACUCUAACAGCUGCGGCACCGUGUUCAGGCAGAAUCAGUCCGAUUCUGAGCAGUGCCAUCCGUGUGCCCGUGCUGUUGGUCCAGCUUAAUCCAGGGAGAGAAUCUGGUAUAAUCAUGAACAACAACUGACCUUAAGGCAAAGACCACUCUGAUGGGGCUGACCACAGGUACCCAGGACCCUCCAUCAGUGCCAAGUACCAGACAGAUACCAGACAGACUUCACUCCAUCAGCUUAGUGUCACCUCUGUGCAAGCCGUCGUUCACUUCUCUCCCUGGGCCUCAUUAUCUCCACCUGUAAAAUGGGCCCAGCAGUGACUACCGAUGAGAUCGUUGUGGGGAUUAGCUGGAAGGGCGUAUGUGAAAGCACCUCAUCCAGAGUCUGGCAUAUAAUAGGAUGGAGCAUUAUGGCAGACACUGGGACGGGAGAGUUUUCUCUGAGAACAUCUACCUCACACUCAGACAGGUAGCUCCCCAUCCCUCCAGUUCUGGUGUUUAUCCUCCUCCUACUUCCUGCCCCACAACCUGCCCAAUUCCCAGGACCUGGAGCAAUCUUCAGGCUUUGCAGAGGACUCG
rnacentral:lncRNA from 1 species